rnacentral:lncRNA from 1 species
GCUCCACCGAUUGACUUAUCCAACACGGCUUCUGUCGCGGCAGCAACAGGACAGGUCUGGACUCGGCGACCAUCGUUCUCUCUCUACACUACCAAUCACGACCAAGCCUAUGUCUCCUUCUCGGUAAUGAAACGUCUAAAAUAAAAUAAACAGUUCAAUCAUUUUCUUGGGAAAGACUAUAACUUCUUUUCAAGUUUAUAAAAUAUAGGAGAGAAAUGUUAGGAACAAAUCGUACAGUGAUGAUAACGAUGAGAAGCUCGUCGGAGCAGCCAAAGAGGCUAAGGAGAGGCUGGACGAGCUGCUGAGGAACCCGCGAAGAAGGUUCGGUUUGGU